CCGAGCAGGACUAAGCCAUUUUACAGCUUAUUACCGUUAAAAAAGUCAAACGGAGACAUCCGAAAGUUGACAACACUGACAGGCAAAAGGAGAGGGAUGUCACAACUGAAUACCACUUGCUGACUGAAGACCAUCCGACGAAGAUUCCGGUCUGCAAGGCCACCUUUUGCAGCGUAUUGGGAAGCAGUACGCCGUCUUCACAACUCGGAGACAAAUUGCAGGUGCUACGAACCGGAGCAAGGACUAAUAUCGCCUCAUAAUGAGGCGGUGACCUCCUAUUUGCUCGGAGCAAUAUCUGCAAGUCCAGAUUUACACGAUGUUGAUAAAGACGACGUUGUGUCCGCCUGUAAGACAUACUACGAGACGGUACGCAGGAGCUUUAGAUAUACCCAGCCAGAAAACUCAUUGCGGGCGGAAGCUGCGAAGAGUUCAGCUCGGAGUCGAGCGAGAAGA